UAAGGAAUAUUGGUCAAUGGACGCAAGUCUGAACCAGCCAUGCCGCGUGGAGGAUGAAGGUCCUCUGGAUUGUAAACUUCUUUUAUUUGGGAAGAAAUCUAUCUUUUCUUGGAUAGUUGACGGUACCAGAUGAAUAAGCACCGGCUAACUCCGUGCCAGCAGCCGCGGUAAUACGGAGGGUGCAAGCGUUAUCCGGAUUCACUGGGUUUAAAGGGUGCGUAGGUGGGCAGGUAAGUCAGUGGUGAAAUCUCCGGGCUUAACCCGGAAACUGCCAUUGAUACUAUCUGUCUUGAAUACCCUGGAGGUGAGCGGAAUAUGUCAUGUAGCGGUGAAAUGCUUAGAUAUGACAUAGAACACCCAUUGCGAAGGCAGCUCACUACGGGAAUAUUGACACUGAGGCACGAAAGCGUGGGGAUCAAACAGG
rnacentral:rRNA from 1 species